UACAGAGGGUGCGAGCGUUGUCCGGAAUCACUGGGCGUAAAGGGCGCGUAGGUGGCGACCCAAGUCCGUGGUGAAAGCUCGUCGCUUAACGACGAGUCGGCCACGGAGACUGGGUGGCUUGAGCACUGUAGGGGCUAAUGGAAUUCCGGGUGUAGCGGUGGAAUGCGUAGAGAUCCGGAAGAACACCAGUGGCGAAGGCGGUUAGCUGGGCAGUUGCUGACACUGAUGCGCGAAAGCGUGGGGAGCGAUCCGG
rnacentral:rRNA from 1 species